CCCUUAGAUGUUCUGGGCAGCACGCGCGCUACACUGAUGCAUUCAACGAGUCUAAAACCUGCUCUGAUAGGGGUGGGUAAUCUUUUGAAUGUGCAUCGUGAUUGGGAUAGAUGAUUGCAAUUUUUCAUCUUCAACGAGGAAUGCCUAGUAAACGCAAGUCAUCAGCUUGCAUUGAUUACGUCCCUGCCCUUUGUACACACCGCCCGUCGCUCCUACCGAUUGAAUGAUCCGAUGAAUAUCAUGGAUUGAGGAUGCAAGUAGGUUAGCCUAUCUUCAUCUUCGAGAAGUGAAGUAAAUCUUAUCAUUUAGAGGAAGGAGAAGUCGUAACA
rnacentral:rRNA from 1 species